AGUGAACGCUGGCGGUAGGCCUAACACAUGCAAGUCGAACGGCAGCACAGUAAGAGCUUGCUCUUACGGGUGGCGAGUGGCGGACGGGUGAGGAAUACAUCGGAAUCUACUUUUUCGUGGGGGAUAACGUAGGGAAACUUACGCUAAUACCGCAUACGACCUACGGGUGAAAGCAGGGGAUCUUCGGGCCUUGCGCGAUUGAAUGAGCCGAUGUCGGAUUAGCUAGUUGGCGGGGUAAAGGCCCACCAAGGCGACGAUCCGUAGCUGGUCUGAGAGGAUGAUCAGCCACACUGGAACUGAGACACGGUCCAGACUCCUACGGGAGGCAGCAGUGGGGAAUAUUGGACAAUGGGCGCAAGCCUGAUCCAGCCAUACCGCGUGGGUGAAGAAGGCCUUCGGGUUGUAAAGCCCUUUUGUUGGGAAAGAAAAGCAGCAGGUUGAUACCCCGCUGUUCUGACGGUACCCAAAGAAUAAGCACCGGCUAACUUCGUG
rnacentral:rRNA from 1 species